rnacentral:snoRNA from 1 species
GGGCAUACCCAUAGACCUUGCCUGACUGUGCUCAUGGCCAGGCAGGGGGGGGGACAUUGUAUGUGAGAUUAAUUUGAAGUUCCUACCAGCUUUAGCCAGCUUAAUCAGUGGCCGGAUAAAUAGCAGGACUGUAACAUUC